rnacentral:rRNA from 1 species
GACGAACGCUGGCGGCGUGCCUAAUACAUGCAAGUCGAACGCAGUUGCGAACGGGUGAGUAACGCGUAGGUAACUGCCUCAUAGCGGGGUAUAACUAUUGGCAACGAUAGCUAAUCCCGCAUACUGUGAGAUGGACCUGCGUGUUAUUAGCUAGUUGGUGAGUUAAAGGCUCACCAAGGCGACGAUCCAUAGCCGGCCUGAGAGGGUGAGCGGCCACACGGGGACAGUGGCACGGCCAAGACGCCUACGGGAGGCAGCAGUAGAGAAUUGUCGGCAAUGGACGAAAGGGUGACCGAGCGACGCCGCGUGAGUGAAGGAGGGUUGCGGAGCGUAAAGCUCUGAUGUUAGAGAAGCGGUAUCUAACCAGAAAGCCACGGCUAACUACGUGCCAGCCGCCGCGGUAAUUC